rnacentral:rRNA from 1 species
ACGAACGCUGGCGGCGUGCCUAAUACAUGCAAGUCGAACGCUUCUUUCCUCCCGAGUGCUUGCACUCAAUUGGAAAGAGGAGUGGCGGACGGGUGAGUAACACGUGGGUAACCUACCCAUCAGAGGGGGAUAACACUCGGAAACAGGUGCUAAUACCGCAUAACAGUUUAUGCCGCAUGGCAUAAGAGUGAAAGGCGCUUUCGGGUGUCGUUGAUGGAUGGACCCGCGGUGCAUUAGCUAGUUGGUGAGGUAACGGCUCACCAAGGCCACGAUGCAUAGCCGACCUGAGAGGAUGAUCGGCCACACUGGAACUGAGACACGGCCCAGACUCCUACGGGAGGCAGCAGUAGGGAAUCUUCGGCAAUGGACGAAAGUCUGACCGAGCAACGCCGCGUGAGUGAAGAAGGUUUUCGGAUCGUAAAACUCUGUUGUUAGGGAAGAACAAGGGCGUUAGUAACUGAACGUCCCCUGACGGUAACUAAACAGAAAGCCACGGCUAACUACGUG